GACGAACGCUGGCGGCGUGCUUAACACAUGCAAGUCGAGCGGUAAGGCCCUUUCGGGGGUACACGAGCGGCGAACGGGUGAGUAACACGUGGGUGACCUGCCCUCAGCUCUGGGAUAAGCCUGGGAAACCGGGGUCUAAUACCGGAUAUGACUCCAUGACGCAUGUUGUGGGGUGGAAAGCCUUGUGCGGCUGAGGAUGGGCCCGCGGCCUAUCAGCUUGUUGGUGGGGUGAUGGCCUACCAAGGCGACGACGGGUAGCCGGCCUGAGAGGGCGACCGGCCACACUGGGACUGAGACACGGCCCAGACUCCUACGGGAGGGCAGCAGUGGGGAAGUCUUGCGCAAUGGGCGAAAGCCUGACGCAGCGACGCCGCGUGAGGGAUGACGGCCUC
rnacentral:rRNA from 1 species